UACAGCCUGUUGUUACUUCCAUCUCUGUUCCAAAAACAGAGGAACCACCUUUUUUGGUUCAGAUAAUUGCGAGGAAAUUCCUGAACUGAUCCCUGCUUCCUCUGGUUGUUGUUUGUGCCAGGUGACCCAAGGUUGCUGAAGAGGAGCAGCAGCCGCACAAGAGUAUCUGAGGAUGACUCCUCCGUUUCUAACCCAUCCCCUUCCUUCCACUGUUUUGGAUGAUGAACUUGAUCCUGCUUAAUUAAUUAAUUUCUCAUCGUGCUUAAUUAGCUGUAAAUGUGCCCCCUUAUUGAAGAAGAAGAAGAAGAUAAUACAAAUAUUCUAGUGCUACCACACAACUAGAUCAGUAUUUGAUUACUGUUACAAGUGGAGGUCUAAAUCAGCAGAGAACAGGGGUGAGAUGUACAUGUCCCAACCUCCUUCCCUCCCAUGUAUGAAUACGCUCUCAAGUAGUCAUUUUUGUGAGUGGGCAUAUGAUAAGAACUAAGAAUUCACCUUCACUAAUUGUCUAUGAUAUUUCAUCAGGAUCUAUAAGUACUUGAGGUACAUAUUGGCCGCACCACCAAUUUGUGUAGUUCUUUGGCCCUCUUGGUAGUGGGUUCUCAGUAGGACUAUAGAGUUGAUAGUAUGCUUCUAUGCAUCCCCAUUUAUAAGUUAUGCAGAAUAAGAAUUACAAUUUGCUGCAAUUCAGAUGUUUUGAAUUCUUCAAUCUUGAAUUGUUCAAUGAUGAUAGCUAUCUUGCACCGUACUAUAAAAUCAUGGAUCGGCAACUAGGUGAUUGUCAAUCCGUUCUUGCUAGAUGUGUUGUUGUUUUUCUUCUUCUAAGAUAAGAUGGUAGCAUCACAUGUCAUCCUAUCAUGUUGUACUAGUUCCUGAAGUGUAAGAUAAGAUGGUGGCAUCA